GCGGCAUUAUAAAAGCCCCAGUCAGUGGUCGUCGUAUCUUUGUGUAGGACCACCGUUCUGACUUGCAACCUUUCAACUGAGAGCUCUUCACGAGUGUGGCGACAGCUGAACAACAUGGAUGGGAAACGGAUCAUCUUAGCUCUUGCUGCAAUGGCUGCACUCAUUUGCAGCGCCUUUGCUGUUCCUUCCGCUGAAGCAGAGUCAGCCGCCAGAUACAGCCCUGCUAAGUAAGAUCAGAUAACUGGGUGCUCUCCAACUACCUAAUGUCACCAUGGGGCAUGCCGACUACUGCAUGGGCAAGGAGUUAUACUGAAGCGAGAUUGCCAACCUAAUAGCAUGCAUGAUGAUCCAGUAAAGUACUUCGAACUGUA